UCGCUAAGAGAGCAGCCCGCCCCCGAUCAGCUUGUUGGUAGGGUAACGGCCUACCAAGGCUCCGAUCGGUAGGUGGCCUGAGAGGGUGGUCACUCACACUGGGACUGAGAUACGGCCCAGACUCCUACGGGGGGCAGCAGUCUAGAAGCUUCCACAAUGGACGAAAGUCUGAUGGAGCGACGCCGCGUGUGGGAUGACAGCCGUGAGGUUGUAAACCACUGUCAGCAGGGAAGAAUGCCCCGAUGGUGAAUCGGGGAGAGACGGUGCCUGCAGAGGAAGCCCCGGCUAACUCCGUGCCAGCAGCCGCGGUAAUACGGAGGGGGCAAACGUUGUUCGGAUUUACUGGGCGUAAAGGGUGUCUAGGCGGUUCGAUUAGUCUGGUGUGAAAUAUCCUCGCUCAACGAGGAAAACGCAUUGGAAACUGUCGAGCUCGAGAGUGGAAGAGGCAGGUGGAAUUUCUGGUGUAGCGGUGGAAUGCGUAGAUAUCAGAAAGAACACUCGUGGCGAAGGCGGCCUGCUGGUCCAUUUCUGACGCUGAAGCACGAAAGCUAGGGGAGCGAACGGGAUUAGAUACCCCGGUAGUCCUAGCCGUAAACGUUGAACACUGGAUGUCGGGGGUAUCGACCCCCUCGGUGUCGGAGCUAACGCGUUAAGUGUUCCGCCUGGGGAGUACGACCGCAAGGUUGAAACUCAAAGGAAUUGACGGGGGCCCGCACAAGCGGUGGAGGAUGUGGUUUAAUUCGACGCAACGCGAAGAACCUUACCUGGGCUUAAACCGCAGGGUAAACCCUCUGAAAGGAGGGCUGCUUCGGCAAUCCUGUAGAGGUGCUGCAUGGCUGUCGUCAGCUCGUGUCGUGAGAUGUUGGGUUAAGUCCCGCAACGAGCGCAACCCUUGCUCUUAGUUACCAGCGCGUAAUGGCGGGGACUCUAAGAGGACUGCCCUCGCAAGGGGGAGGAAGGUGGGGAUGACGUCAAGUCCUCAUGGCCCUUAUGUCCAGGGCUACACACGUCCUACAAUGGCCGGUACAAAGGGCUGCAAGCUCGCGAGAGUUAGCUAAUCCCAAAAAGCCGGUCCCAGUUCGGAUUGCAGUCUGCAACUCGACUGCAUGAAGGUGGAAUCGCUAGUAAUCGUGGAUC
rnacentral:rRNA from 1 species